UACGUAGGGUGCGAGCGUUAAUCGGAAUUACUGGGCGUAAAGCGUGCGCAGGCGGUGAUGUAAGACCGAUGUGAAAUCCCCGGGCUUAACCUGGGAACUGCAUUGGUGACUGCAUUGCUCGAGUAUGGCAGAGGGGGUGGAAUUCCACGUGUAGCAGUGAAAUGCGUAGAGAUGUGGAGGAACACCGAUGGCGAAGGCAGCCCCCUGGGCCAAUACUGGACGCUCAUGCACGAAAGCGUGGGGAGCAA
rnacentral:rRNA from 1 species